rnacentral:rRNA from 1 species
AAAGACCGAGAUCUUACAGGCUCUUGACACUCUUCGGAGGAGAUGGAGAAUCGAUGAUACUGUCGUGCCAAGAAAAGCCACUAAGUAUAUUGUAUGUUGCCCGUACCGUAAACCGACACAGGUGGGUGGGAUGAGUAUUCUAAGGCGCGUGGAAGAACCCUGGUUAAGGAACUCUGCAAACUAGCACCGUAUCUUCGGUAUAAGGUGUGCCUACUUUGGUAUAUGGGCUUGCCCCAAAAAGCUAGAGAGGUUGCAACAAAGAGUCCCUCCCGACUGUUUACCAAAAACACAGCACUUUGCUAACACGUAAGUGGAUGUAUAAGGUGUGACGCCUGCCCGGUGCUCGAAGGUUAACUGAUGAUGUCAGCGCAAGCGAAGCAUUUGAUUGAAGCCCGAGUAAACGGCGGCCGUAACAAUAACGGUCCUAAGGUAGCGAAAUUCCUUGUCGGUUAAAUACCGACCUGCAUGAAUGGCGUAACGAGAUGGGAGCUGUCUCAACCAGGGAUCCAGUGAAAUUGUAGUGGAGGUGAAAAUUCCUCCUACCCGCGGAAAGACGGAAAGACCCCGUGCACCUUUACUACAGCUUGACACUGUAGCUUGGAUAUUCAUGUGCAGGAUAGGUGGGAGGCUAUGAUAUAUGGACGCAAGUACAUAUGGAGCCAUCCUUGAGAUACCACCCUUGAAUAUUUGAGUUACUAACUGCGUACAAUUAUCUUGUAUCAGGACAAUGUCUGGUGGGUAGUUUGACUGGGGCGGUCGCCUCCUAAAAAGUAACGGAGGCUUACAAAGGUUAGUUCAUGGCGGUUGGAAAUCGCCAGUUGAGUAUAAUGGCAUAAACUAGCUUGACUGUGAGACAUACAAGUCGAACAGAGACGAAAGUCGGUCAUAGUGAUCCGGUGGUUCUGUGUGGAAGGGCCAUCGCUCAAAGGAUAAAAGGUACGCCGGGGAUAACAGGCAGAUCUCCCCCAAGAGCUCACAUCGACGGGGAGGUUUGGCACCUCGAUGUCGGCUCAUCGCAUCCUGGGGCUGAAGUAGGUCCCAAGGGUAUGGCUGUUCGCCAUUUAAAGCGGUACGCGAGCUGGGUUCAGAACGUCGUGAGACAGUUCGGUCCCUAUCUUCCGUGGGCGUAGGAAAGUUGAAGAGAUUUGUCCCUAGUACGAGAGGACCGGGAUAAACGUACCACUGGUGUACCAAUUGUUCUGCCAAGAGCAUCGUUGGGUAGCUACGUACGGAUGUGAUAAGAGCUGAAAGCAUCUAAGCUCGAAGCCAACUCUAAGAUUAACUUUCCCUGAAGUUCCCAGCAAGACUAGCUGGUUGAUAGGCUGGAUGUGUAAGCGUUGUAA